UUAAAUUGAAGAGUUUGAUCAUGGCUCAGAUUGAACGCUGGCGGCAGGCCUAACACAUGCAAGUCGAACGGUAACAGGAAGCAGCUUGCU
rnacentral:rRNA from 47 species